rnacentral:rRNA from 1 species
UCAGUAACGGCGAGUGAAGCGGUAACAGCUCAAAUUUGAAAGCUGCCAACAGGCCGCGUUGUAAUUUGUAGAAGAUGCUUUGGGGGUAGGCCUAGUCUAAGUUCCUUGGAACAGGACGUCAUAGAGGGUGAGAAUCCCGUAUGUGAUUAGUGCCUGCUCCCGUGUAAAGCUCUUUCGACGAGUCGAGUUGUUUGGGAAUGCAGCUCAAAAUGGGUGGUAUAUUUCAUCUAAAGCUAAAUAUUGGCCAGAGACCGAUAGCGCACAAGUAGAGUGAUCGAAAGAUGAAAAGCACUUUGGAAAGAGAGUUAAACAGUACGUGAAAUUGUUGAAAGGGAAGCGCUUGCAACCAGACUUGCAGGCGGUCGAUCAUCCAAGGUUCUCCCCGGUGCACUCGAUCGUCUUCAGGCCAGCAUCGGUUUUGGUGGCGGGAUAAAGGCUCUAGGAAUGUGGCUCUUCGGAGUGUUAUAGCCUAGGGUGCAAUGCCGCCUACCGGGACCGAGGACCGCGCUUCGGCUAGGAUGCUGGCGUAAUGGUUGUAAGCGGCCCGUCUUGAAACACGGACCAAGGAGUCUAACAUCUAUGCGAGUGUUUGGGUGUCAAACCCAUACGCGUAAUGAAAGUGAACGGAGGUGAGAGCCCUUUAGGGCGCAUCAUCGACCGAUCCUGAUGUCUUCGGAUGGAUU